GUGCUCGCUUCGGCAGCACAUAUACUAAAAUUGGAACGAUACAGAGAAGAUUAGCAUGGCCCCUGAGAAAGAAUGGGAAUCUGGAGACCGAAUAAUCUCAGUUAAAA
ensembl:snRNA U6 U6 spliceosomal RNA